AUGACUCUCGGCAACGGAUAUCUUGGUCCUCGCAUUGAUGAAGAACGUAGCGAAAUGCGAUACUUGGUGUGAAUUGCAGAAUCCCGUGAACCAUCGAGUUUUUGAACGCAAGUUGCGCCCUAAGCUUCCGGGCCGAGGGCAAGCCUGCGUGGG
rnacentral:rRNA from 1 species